rnacentral:misc_RNA from 1 species
GCAUGAUUGCAUUUGAAUUAUGGAACACAAAUGGUUGAGGUUUUUUCUCUAUGGACACUUAGCUCGUGUAAAAGAAACCCAUGCUUAGGAAAUUGUUUCCCUGGUAGUAAAUAGGUUGAAACAAUAAAAAGCUGUCUUCCAUUUGAAGUGACUUCAAUUUACAGGACUCACACUAGAGCUUUUGUCUUCUUGAGGAGGACUGGUAUAAAGAAUUAUUGUUUGAUGCAAGCUGUUAUGCCUAAAUAUCUAUUAAAAAAUAGGUGAUCAUUGUCUUGUGUUUUUUUGCUUUGAUUGGGGUUUCAUGUUUGUCACAAAUGGUUCCAAAUUAUAACGUUUUGGCAACUUUUAGCAAUGGCCUGGUCGCUAAAACAGGGUCAGUUUGGCCCUUUGAGGCUUAUGUUCCUAGUUGCAAGGUGGAAGUUUUGUAGUUGCAGCGACUCCUGUGCACUUGCUGGUGCUCAAUUAAGUCAUUUUAUUUUGAUAAAUUGCUUUAAAACAGCAAUAUAUAUAGGCAUUCAAUGAGACUUUCUAGGGAUUAUUCAAUGGGAUGCUAUUUUCUUGCCUUUCAUAAUUUCAUUCUUUAAUAUUAUUAUAAUUUUAUCAAUUCAUAUCUGCUUACUUAU